GGGCUUGUAUGAUGGGAGCAGUUUGGAAACGCAACUGAAAUUAGAAAGGCUUGUGGUCCGUGCAGUUCGUCCUUACUUGGGUGUAAGGGGACUUUAUGUGAGAGAUACAGAACCAGUUGUUGAGGCCUCUACAAACAUUACCCUUCCACCCAAAGAUACAGACGCAUCGAAAAUUCUACUAAAUGCCCUAGUCCAUGGCAGGAACUCCAAUUUUCUGUCAUUCCGACAAACGACCAGUCAGCAUGGUAGCCGACAUGAAGUAUCUCCAGACCCGACAUUGGAGCAAGCUCAUAGUGGUUCAAACACCACUAGCACCAGUGGACGAAAACGAUUGUGGCCGGCGCCACAGCCUCGUUACGUAGGAUCAAAACUACAAGUACCUUGUAACGACAGACGACAGGUUGUAUCUAUGACUCCACAUUUGAUGCCAUGACCUAGUAAAAUGAAAGCCUACGCUUGCUUAAAACUCUGUCCUUCCAGUCAACAAAGCAGAACCUCUUCCAAAAUAUAUUUUCACUGUCUCAAAAUGGUUGAAGAAAAAGAGAGUGUAGAUGAGAAUAUGAUACUUUCAAAGCAAGCCAAUGAAAAUGGUUUCUGAGGUCCCCCCCCCCCCACUGUCUCUCUCUACUUUUUCUUUUUUUUUUUCUGAUGCAAAUAACUCUUUAAAAAAAGAGGAAAAGAAAAAUGUAGGGAUCACAAAGCUUUCUAUUUCCAAUAGAAGGGAAACAAUAAAAAAGAGGAUUCACACUUAACAAUGCAAUGAAACAAACUUGCUGAAAUAUGCAAUGAGACUUCAAAAUAUCACCAGAUUUUGAAACAUACGCUGCCAUUAUUUUUAAGAUUCUAUUUAAUUGAUUCAUAUGCAAUUUUUUUGUAAAUAUUCUUUCUCUUCUCCCCCAUUUCCAAUGUUCUGUAUUUCAACUGUGUUGUGCAUAUUCACUUAUACUUAAAUGAUUACAUCAAUGAAGGAGUGAUUGUUAUAUAUUUUUUCCCAUUACAGAAAUUUUCCCAGUCCCUCAACUAUUCAAAAAUAACAUUGUGGAAAGAGAAAAGAUGAAAAGACCUCCUUUCUUACAAACACACCCGAACACUUCAGGCUAAAUAAUAACUUGUACAAAAUGCCAUUAUUAAAUAAUGUUUGCAGUGGUACCUCUAGUACCUUGGAUUUAAAUUAUGGACUGAGUUAAAUGCCUUUAAUAAUAAUAACAAUAAUGGUGCCAGCCUGCCAUUUUGAAGCAUGAAAUGCCUGGUUAACAUCAUUGUCCUGAUUUGUCACUUUUUCGUCCAAAAUUAACCAAAAAAGAAGAAAAAAGUUGUUUUUUCUUCUGUUGAAUAGUUUACAGCUGUUAUGUGAUGGUACACACCUUUAUAAGACAAAAGCAAAAAGAAAAGCAAUUCAUUCCCAUUCAGUCUCACCCUUUUUUUUUUUUUUUUUUACUGAGUCCUGAUUAUAGUUGUUGGCAUUUUUAAUUCCAAAUCAUACAGCUGAAUUGCAAGGAAGAUGCAGAGAAGUCACUACUCAACACAGGUUUAUAGUGUUCAACAAAUGAGAGAUAAAUCUCCUCCUGGACAGGAUGCUGGUCUUAUUAAUGGAGAAUUUAUAUUCUAUAAUGCUACAACUCCUUACAACAAUGAUUUAAACCCCAUGUAGUACCUUACAACUAUUUAGGUUGGACUAUGGAAAGUUAAAGUGCUUUGGUCAUGGAUAUAAAUGCACAAUUGAAUCUCCUUUAUAGUUGUUUGGUACCAUAACAAAUAAGUGAAGAAGAUAUCCAAGAUAAAAUGUUAAUCUGCUGCAGGUAACUUUUCUUGAAAGAUUUGAGUACCUGAUACACAACAGGUGCAAUUAAGUCGACGCAAAUAGAAUUGUCUUUCUUAGAAACAUCUAAACACCUGAAGUUAAAUUUGAAUUCAUCAUCUAUGUUCUAGUGGUUUGAUACCAUGUCUACAGAGCCAUUUCUGAAAUUUUGAUGAGAAGGGAACCAAUUUUUGUCAUCCUAAGGCAGCUAUGCUCUUGAAAAGAAGAAAAAAAUUCCUUCAAAAACUUUUUCAUAAAAAAAGUUGUCAAUUAAUGACUUCCUUACAUUGAUGUGAAAGAAUGUCUUUAAAAACAAUUUCACCUUUUUUUUAAUAUAUCUGACCUUAAUGAAAACAGUUGUGAUUUUUAGUUUUAUAUCCGAAACUCUUGCCCAUGUUCCUAAAUCCGUUAAGAACUACUCCCUCCCAUUUUUAAAUUUAAGAAUCUUGUCUUUUACCAUAAUUAUGAAAUGGCAGAAGUGGUACAGAGCUACAAUUAACUUAGUGUUUUAUCCCACUAUGUUUCUGAGUUCAAAUUUCACUAGGGUUAACUUUUAUCUUUCAUCCUUCUAAGGAUGAUAAAGUAAGUACCUAGCAUGUACUGAGGUUGAUUCAAUCAACUGUAUCCCAUCUCUUCAAAUUUGCGGCCUUGUGCUAUUGUAAAAAAAAAAUCACUAUUGAACUAUCUUGCACAAUAAAGGUAAGUUCAGAUUUGAUUUCGGGUUGUACUCACUUUUACUAAUAUCCUUCAGAAAAGGUAUCAAUAUUAUGCAAUUUUAUUUCUAUAAAUCUGAGGCCUUGUCUGUCUAUGUAAGAAAUCUUUACAGAUUAAAAGCACCAAGGUGCAGCAGUAAGUUGAGACACUGCAAGUUUCUAUCAAUUAUAUAGACAUCCUAAUGCACAUGGGAAAAGCAUAAACACAACUCCUAUUUAUAAUUCAGAAAAUACUAUAGGUUAUAAAUAAAUGUUUAUUCUGCAUAACUUAAAAUGUCAGCCAAAUCAACCCUCAAACUAAUCCCUUAUAGCUUAAAUGAUAAAGAGCCUCAUGCUUUUGAGGUUUUUGAGUUUCACCAUACUCACCAUAUUGAAUUUCAGAGCAAAGACAAUGCUUGUAUAAUUGACAUGUUGUUCAUUAGCUUUUAAUAAUGGGUUUGAAUCCUAUUCAGAUUCACUUAACUAGACCUAAUAAGGAUAAAUAUUUAUCUUGCAUAUUGGUACAAUAUUGUUUUUUGCUUUUUGCCAGAAAAUCAAGUAGGUUUCCCCAGUCUUUAAGACAUCUAGAUAUGUAAAUAAUGUGAAAAAUAGAGUAUUCAGAAAAUAUGUCUACAAUGGAUUUUCCUCUCUUGGUCAAUGAGCUGGCUAUCCAAUAUCUUUUAUCUGUCUGCUGUCAUUUCAUAGUAUUUUCUACCUUCACCGCUAAUUUUCUUUGUCAUAUAACUCCAUCUUAUUGUUAUUUAAUUAUUAAAAAUAUGAUUGUCUUAUCUUUUCUUUCCCCAGUACAUCAAGGACUAUAUUAAUGCAUGUUUUUAUUAAGAAAGACUUGGCUAUUUUCAUCAAGCCAAGCAACCAUAUAGAAGCUGAUUUAUUGUGUUGUUGUGUUCUGGAGCUUAUCUGUUGGGAAAUGGUUCCUCUUUUUGCAAUGAGAUAAAACGGGGCUUGGUUCAACUCUAUACUAUGAUUUUUGCCUAGCACUAUAAACUAAUAAGCAUUUGUCAAUCAAAACAGUAAUCCUUUUAUCUCCUGUUGUAAAUUGUCACUUCUUAAUAUCUAUUUGUCAGUGGGUGAACUGUAUCAUCAUGAUAUAAGUAUCUUUGCCUGUUGAUAGUGUAGCACUAGAUACAAAAUCUGAAACCCACGAUCCUACAGCUUUUGGUCAGCUGCCAACACUUGAAUAAAGAAAUAACAUAUCUGGUGUGUAAAUCACUAUGCCACACUUUGAGGAAAACUUUAUAGAACAAUUAAGCGAGAACCUAUCAUUAAUCAAUAAGGUAUUCAUUAUAAAUGAUCUAUUUCUUUUAGGACAGUGGAAUUACACAAUCAGAAGGGUGCCAGGUUUAAACUUCUGACAUUUAUUUACAUUCCUUUGUGUUCCAAAUUCAAAUUCUGUUGGGAUUGGUUUUGCUUUUUCUAAUAUGCAAAAAUUGUCCUGGCAUAAAUUUGAUCCAUUUCCUGACUCUGUGAUCCACUAUGAGGGUUUCUAUUGCAUUAAUAGAGAGAUAAAUGUUUACUUAGGACCCUAGCCUUUCAUAAUUUUUCUCACAAGUCAGAUUGAAAUUAAAACUGCUGGCCAAUGAAUUGGUAGUCAAAAUAUGAUUUGUUUGUUUUACAUGUUUCUUCAUGCCUGCAUAGGUUGGUUGAAUAUGUUGAGGUAUUGUUUUUCAACCAGAUACCCUUCUUGAUCCUAACCUUUGUUUUUCAAGUAAGGGAUCUCUUUUUUUGACAUGGUUUUGAAAGCACAAAGUGGCCGGACAUUUUGUUGACAGGUUUGACAAUACUGCCUGUCAUACUUUCGUACAAACAAUUGCAGAUGUUAACAAAGAGGACAGCACACAGACAUAUAUUUAUUUACAAUAAUCUUUCAGUUUCUAUCUACUAAAUUUACUCACAAGGCUUUGGUUGUCUAUUAGAAGAAAGUUCAAGGUGCUGUGCAAUGGGA